rnacentral:misc_RNA from 1 species
UACGAAUGGGGCAAGCGUUGUUCGGAAUCACUGGGCUUAAAGCGUGCGCAGGCGGACGAGGAAGUCAGAAGUGAAAGCCCCGGGCUCAACCCGGGAAUUGCUUUUGAAACUUCUUGUCUGGAAUCCGGUAGAGGUCAGGAGAAUUCCUAGUGUAGAGGUGAAAUUCGCAGAUAUUAGGAGGAAUACCAGUGGCGUAGGCGCCUGACUGGGCCGGUAUUGACGCUGAGGCACGAAAGCGUGGGGAGCAAACAGG